CCAAAUCCGGGUUCUGUACGCCUUGACCGAUUUUUGGACCCGUCUGUCUUGGGUUUUUGACCCAUUUUCUUUGCAACUGUCCUAGACUAAACAUACAAUAAUGAUAAAUAAUAAUACAUAACAGAAAAACAACAAGGGCUUAGGCCCAAAACAACAAAAUACAACAUAAAAAUAAAAGGCUUCUUGGUCCAAGAUCUUCAACUAUGGCCUGAUUCGAAUUCCUCGGCUUUGAGAACCUGUACGCUGAAAAAAUGGAUGGUUGACUCGAUGAAAAUAAAGGCCCUCUCAAAAUGCACGAGGGAAAAUAGGAACUCGUGACGAGUCCGUACGAAUUUCACUUGUGAAGCAAAGUAAUUAGUGGACCAUAUUUUAAUAUUAGAAAAAGGUCAAAUGAAUUAACUCAUAAAUCACCGCACUUUAGUUUAAAAUGCAACAGCAAAAAGAAAAUGACAACUUGAAUCAAUCCCAAAAUAUUCUUUUGACUCUAGUCCACUAAUGCAGCAAUCAAGAUCAGGUAGAUUUGGACUCCAACGAAUCAUGAACCAAAGCAACCUAUUGGAAUUCUUCAAACUACAGUGACUAGAUAAUUGUUUGUCAAUUAUAAAGAGCCGGCAAAAUAAAAAUAUUCUAAGAAGUUGGGCCACAUUGAAGUGGACGAACCCAAAGAACAUUAUCACAGCAUAAAUUGACAUAUGAGCAAAACAAUCAGUAUUCAAAUAAAGUUGGUAAGAACCUGCCAAAAUAAAAUAGUACACUAGCACAAGAUUAUGAUUUAAUUAGCCUACUUCUUUAUUUGAUUAUUUAAAUACAAGAGACGGUGAGUAAACGAAACUAAAAUAAAUUAAGACCACUUAAUGUUUUGACCUUAUGAGAAAACCGACCAAAACCACAUAAAUUAAUGGCCCACUAUCAGCAAAGUUGGCAGAAUAGGCAAGUGAAGAAUAAAAUAAUCACAAACUUGGAGCUUUGAACCAAGACAAAGAAAGUGAUAACAUAUUAUCAAAUAAUAAAGAAACAUCUUGCCUUGCAUGAUUUAUUUGACGACCAAACUAAACGAUAGCAAUAUAAGAGGUUUUUUAUGAGUUCAACGAGCCGACAGAUAUCAUACCUAAUUUUAAAAAAGAGAGAGCUCCCUCGGAGCAGGUCAAGCUAAGUUAAAUCAAACACAAGCAAAGAAACAAACACGCGAAACUGGCAUACUUCGGCACAUUAAAAUAAAUCCGACUGAACGGCUUGAAUAUCAACACUUAGGAGAGUGGAUUAACAAAACAAACUUAUCAUAUUCAAGACUACUAAAAACUAUAAGAAGGUAAUUAGUACAAACUGUGAAACUCACUUUUGUCUUCAGAACUCAAGACAAUAUCAGAAGACACAUUUUGACAAAUAUGGAAUGAAUAACAUCAAAAAUUAGCAAAAUUAAUUGAAGGAUCGAAAUAAGCAAUAUCCUACCAAGAAAACUCGAGAAGAAACAUAAACAGACACAGAGAGGAGACCAAAAUAGGACAGAAUCGAAUCUUCGAAAAUGAAGUACAUAUAAGCUUCAGAAAGACUAUGACGAUCGAAAACCUAAGAUUAUAACAAAACAACGCACAACAAACGCAUAACCCGAUAACAUAUAUACACAAUUUAAUCACUCAUUGUGAGACAACAAGGGAAAGAGAAGUCAAACUACAAAACAGGGAAGACGAGAGUUGUUUACCUCUUUUUGAGCAACGAACAGAGAACAAACGAGCUGAACGAGAAUGAUCUUUCGCCACCAAGACGUGACCUCCUAGAAUUCAUCUAAGAAGAUGGGUGAGCUGAGAAUAAAGGCUGAACCAAAAUUGUGCUUUCUAGUAACUAUCCUAAAAUAUUUUUAUCAUAGUAUGGCUGGAAAUCUAGAAUGUAUCUUGUAUUCUAGAGGAAUAGCUGACUCCAAUAUUUCUUGUUAUUUUUUCACCACUCUCCACUAAACCUUAUUUUUCUUAACACAAAAUAAAGGGAUUAUUUAUACCAAGGGUUUAGGGUUCGGAUUAUGGGGGGGAGAAAAAAAAGGUUGAAAUUCGAAUUUCCCCUUCCAGAUAAGGCUGCACCUGGAAUCGUACUAAUCCUAAUGGAAUGAGGAGGAGAACCGUCUGAUUCAGGAGCAAGGACGGAUGAAGCACAAGAUAGAGACACUUAGAUUAUUCACAUACGGCGAAGAUGAGGGAGAGGGAAGGACGACGUAUCACGCGCGGUUGAUUUCUUUGAUUGUUAUCCACUCAUGCGUGAAUAAGAAGGAGAAACAGUUAUGGGCUCCUGAUGCUAUAGUUAGUGGAUUAUCUUUGUGAUUGUAAUUGAAUGUUGCAUUGCAUUUGGUGGGAUGAUUUUUUUGUGGGAAUGGGCCUGGGUCAAAUUGAGGGGCAAAAGGGAAGUAUCGAGUCAGAUUCUGAGAAGG
rnacentral:lncRNA from 1 species